rnacentral:rRNA from 1 species
UACGUAGGGUGCAAGCGUUGUCCGGAAUUAUUGGGCGUAAAGAGCUCGUAGGCGGUUUGUCGCGUCGGCUGUGAAAACUCGGGGCUCAACCCCGAGCCUGCAGUCGAUACGGGCAAACUAGAGUGUGGUAGGGGGAGACUGGAAUUCCUGGUGUAGCGGUGGAAUGCGCAGAUAUCUGGAGGAACACCGGUGGCGAAGGCGGCAUCCUGGACCGGUAUUGACGCUGAGGCGCGAAAGCUAGGGGAGCAAACGGGG